ACAUUGUAUUCUUUUAUAAUAAACAUAGACUAGAUUUUAACCCGCGGUAUACCGCGGGACGAUUUAUUUUUUAAAAGUAAUAUAUAUUAAAACUUGCAAAUUUUAUUUUUAUAAAAUAUUUUUAUUUUACAGUUUAUAAUUGUUAUUAGGUAACGUUAUACCACGAAUCCAUGAGAUAAUUGUUAAAUUUUUAUAAAUAUUGAUUCAAAUACAUCCACCAUAUAACCCAAUUCCAAAAUAAAACCCGUUUUGUAAUUUUUUUACCCGUCCCGUGAUUUUUUUUUUAAAGUAGUAAUUUUAAAAAUUUAAGAAUUAUUUUUUAUAUAUAAAAGUUUUGCAAAUUGUAUCAUUCUCUAAUACAUUUAUAUUUUAUU
rnacentral:sRNA from 1 species